GAUGAACGCUGGCGGCGUGCCUAAUACAUGCAAGUCGAGCGAACAGACGAGGAGCUUGCUCCUCUGACGUUAGCGGCGGACGGGUGAGUAACACGUGGAUAACCUACCUAUAAGACUGGGAUAACUUCGGGAAACCGGAGCUAAUACCGGAUAAUAUAUUGAACCGCAUGGUUCAAUAGUGAAAGACGGUUUUGCUGUCACUUAUAGAUGGAUCCGCGCCGCAUUAGCUAGUUGGUAAGGUAACGGCUUACCAAGGCAACGAUGCGUAGCCGGCCUGAGAGGGUGAUCGGCCACAGUGGAACUGAGACACGGUCCAGACUCCGACGGGAGGCAGCAGUAGGGAAUCUGCGGCAAUGGGCGAAAGCUUGACGGAGCAACGCCGCGUGAGGGAUGAAGGUCUUCGGAUCGUAAAACUCUGUUAUUAGGGAAGAACAAAUGUGUAAGUAACUAUGCACGUCUUGACGGUACCUAAUCAGAAAGCCACGGCUAACUACGUG
rnacentral:rRNA from 1 species